rnacentral:rRNA from 1 species
UGAGCUGGGUUCAGAACGUCGUGAGACAGUUCGGUCCCUAUCUGUUGUGGGCGGAGGAUAUUUGAGAGGAGCUGUCCCUAGUACGAGAGGACCGGGAUGGACGAACCGAUGGUGUUCCAGUUGUCGUGCCAACGGCAUCGCUGGGUAGCUAAGUUCGGAAGGGAUAACCGCUGAAAGCAUCUAAGCGGGAAGCCCACCUCAAGAUAAGAUAUCCCUCUUGACGGAGACGUCAAGACUGAAGACCCCUCGUAGACGACGAGGUUGAUAGGUCAGAUGUGUAAGCACAGUAAUGUGUUCAGCUUGCUGAUACUAAUCGGUCGUGAGGCUUGACCAU